rnacentral:rRNA from 1 species
UGUAUAAUGGGUCAGCGACUUAUAUUCUGUAGCAAGGUUAACCGAAUAGGGGAGCCGAAGGGAAACCGAGUCUUAACUGGGCGUUAAGUUGCAGGGUAUAGACCCGAAACCCGGUGAUCUAGCCAUGGGCAGGUUGAAGGUUGGGUAACACUAACUGGAGGACCGAACCGACUAAUGUUGAAAAAUUAGCGGAUGACUUGUGGCUGGGGGUGAAAGGCCAAUCAAACCGGGAGAUAGCUGGUUCUCCCCGAAAGCUAUUUAGGUAGCGCCUCGUGAAUUCAUCUCCGGGGGUAGAGCACUGUUUCGGCAAGGGGGUCAUCCCGACUUACCAACCCGAUGCAAACUGCGAAUACCGGAGAAUGUUAUCACGGGAGACACACGGCGGGUGCUAACGUCCGUCGUGAAGAGGGAAACAACCCAGACCGCCAGCUAAGGUCCCAAAGUCAUGGUUAAGUGGGAAACGAUGUGGGAAGGCCCAGACAGCCAGGAUGUUGGCUUAGAAGCAGCCAUCAUUUAAAGAAAGCGUAAUAGCUCACUGGUCGAGUCGGCCUGCGCGGAAGAUGUAACGGGGCUAAACCAUGCACCGAAGCUGCGGCAGCGACACUGUGUGUUGUUGGGUAGGGGAGCGUUCUGUAAGCCUGUGAAGGUGUGCUG